GUAAACGCAGUAGAAAAUUUCUCUUAUUCAGAAUUCAGAGGGAAUCAACAAUGUUGUAUGCAACAAGGUUUAGGGUUUCUGUUCGUCAAAUCCCUAAUUUUGUUGCACUAUCCAUUCUCCCUCCUUCCUGGACAAGCCUUCACUUUCAUUCUGAGCCUCCAUCCCUUGCUGAAGUUGACGAUGCUGUUGAUUCCUUUACUCGCAUGCUCUCUAUGCGUCGUACUCCUCCCAUCAACCAAUUUAACAAGAUUUUGGGAUCCCUUGCCAAGACGAAGCAUUUCCACGCCGCCGUUUCCCUUUUUCAGCAAUUGCAAGCCAGGGGAAUCGCUCCCGACUUUUUUACUUUGAACAUCUUAAUCAAUUGUUGUUGCGGCAUGGGUCGUAUGACGCUUGCUUUCUCUGUAUUGGCCAAGAUUUUCAGGAUGGGUUUUCAGUCUAAUACCAUAACGUUCACAACAAUCCUGAAAGGUCUCUGUCUCUGUGGUAAUGUUGAAAAAGCACUGCACUUCCAUGACAUAGUACGGGCUCAUGGAUUUCAGCUUAAUCAAGUCACCUAUGGGACCUUGGUUAAUGGACUCUGUAAGGCCGGACACACAGCAGCUGCGAUUCAAGUGUUGAGAAAGAUCCCACAGUAUGGGAUUGUUCCUAAUGUUGUCAUGUACAGCGCAAUUAUUGAUAGCCUCUGCAAGGAUACACUUGUAAGUGAGGCUUUUCUUUUGUACUCUGAAAUGCUUGCUAUGGGAAUUUCUCCCAAUGUUAUCACUUACACUGCUCUGAUUUAUGGAUUGUGCCUUGCGGGUCAACUUAAGGAAGCCAUUCAUAUACUAAAUCAUAUGAUGCUCAAAAACAUUACUCCAGAUGUUCAGACCUAUAAUACUUUGAUCCAUGGGCUAUGCAAGGAAGGAAAGAUCAAAGAUGCUAAGAACUUGUUGGCUGUGAUGACAAAACAUGGUGUGAAACCAAGUGUGGUUACUUAUAACAGCUUAAUGGAUGGGCAUUGUUUGGUUAAUCAGGUAAAUAAGGCAAAAUAUGUAUUCAACACAAUGACCCAAAGUAGUGUGUCUCCUAAUGUUUGUAGUUACAAUAUCAUGAUUAAUGGCUUGUGCAAAAGUAAAAUGGUCAAUGAUGCCUUGAAUCUCCUUAAAGAGAUGUGUUGCAUGAACUUGGUUCCCGACAUGUUUACUUACAAUACUCUAAUUGAUGGCUUGGGAAAAUCAAGGAGAAUCCUUUGUGCUGUGGAGCUUCUUGAAAAGAUGCAUGAUAGAGGUCAACAUGCUGAUAUAUUCACUUACACUUCCUUGCUGGAUGGUUUGUUCAAUAUCAAACAACAUGACAAGGCACUUAUGUUAUUCAAUCAAAUGAAAGAGAGUGGCAUUGAUCCAAAUAUACGUACAUACAGCAUACUUAUAGAUGGCCUGUGCAAAAGUGGAAGACUUAAAAAUGCAACAGAGAUAUUUCAAGAUCUUUCCAACAAAGGCUAUCGUCCAGAUGUGAAGACAUACACCAUUAUGAUCAAUGGGCUUUGCAAAGAGGGACUGCUUCAUGAAGCAUUAGCUUUAUUGUCGAGAAUGGAAGACAAUGGUUGCUUACCGGAUGCUGUGACUUACGAAAUAAUCGUUCGUGCUCUGUUUGAAAGAGGUGAAAAUGAUAACGCGGAGAAACUUCUUCGUGAAAUGAUAUCUAGAGGCCUAUUGCAAGGAUAAAAGCAUUUUCGGUGACUAGAUGGCUGUUAUAUGUGGCUUGUUGGAUCUAUCAUUGUUUGCUUUUGUGUUUUUCAUCUCUGAAGAAACAAGAACCACCUCUGUGCAUGAACUUCUGAAAAUAGCUGUUGAAGGCAUAGGAAGCAUGGUCUUUCAAAGUGUUUGGAUAAUAGCAUGGUUGGUUCACUUGGAUUUUGCUACAACCUGCACCUCCACUUCCACAAGCCCAGUUCAGCGCUGCCUGCAACUCAUCGUUGCUGCUUUGCAGAUCAGCUAUGCACCAUUGCUCAUACACUGCAUCAUGUGAUCAUAAUAUAAUGCAAUUAGGUGAAAAAAUGAACAUUUAUACACAAACAUUGGUGGAUAUUUUAACAACACAUGAGCACUUAUGUAUUUAACCCUUUUUGGUGCAAUCAUGGAUAGGAAAAGAAUCAGAACCAUUAACUUGGCCAUUAAUGUUUCCAUUUUGGAGGAGACACAGGCCUAGCUGAUAAGAACUCUGAAUAGUGAAUAGGAUAGCCAAGAAACUAGAAAUUUAGUUGCAUAUAUAUUAUAUAAUGAAGUUAAUGGAAAAUGGAAGUUAUGGUCAUGUGUUGUGUGCUUCUAACGGCUAAGAAGGAAUGUUCAUAUUCCAUUACAAGUGGACACUCUGCACCAAGCAGGAUCAGAUUUUAUGUGGGACUCACCGUCAGGGUGUGAAAAUGUGAUGAAAAAUUACAUGAAAAGGAUCAUGUGGUCAAAUUAUCAGUGACAAAUUAUGCUGCUUACACAGGUCACAUUCAGAUUUAGAAAUGAUUUGCCACAAAAAUAAUUAAAAGAUGUUAAGCUAAGAAUCAAACUUCUAGAAACAAUUUUUGUAAAAUUAAGUGCUUAUUGUUUC